UGGUGAAUACAUAGCCAUAGUGAAGUUAGACCCUGCGAACUGAAACAUCUAAGUAGCAGGAGGAAAAGAAAGAAAACUCGAUUUUCCAAGUAGCGGCGAGCGAAAAGAAAACAGCCCAACCCAUUAAGAAAUAUAUUUUUUAGCAGAAUCAUUUGGGAAGAUGAACCAAAGAAAGUGACAGUCUUGUAAGCAAAAGAAAAUAUAUUGUGGGGGCAAGUAGCAGUGAACACGAGAAAUUUGCUGUGAAGAUAGGGGGCCCAUCCCCUAAGGCUAAAUACUAACAUGUGACCGAUAGCGAACAAGUACCGUGAGGGAAAGG
rnacentral:rRNA from 1 species